GACGAACGCUGGCGGCGUGCUUAACACAUGCAAGUCGAACGGAAAGGCCCUGCUUUUGUUGGUUGCUCGAUUGGCGAACGGGUGAGUAACACGUGAGUAACCUGCCCUUGACUUUGGGAUAACUUCAGGAAACUGGGGCUCAUAUCGGAUAGGAUCUCCUGCUGCAUGUUGGGGGUUGGAAAGUUUCGGCGGUUGUGUAUGGACUGGCGGCUUAUCAGCUUGUUUGUGGGGUAGUGGCUUACCAAGGCUUUGACGGGUAGCCGGCCUGAGAGGGUGACCGGCCACAUUGGGACUGAGAUACGGACCAGAAUCCUACGGGAGGCAGCAGGGGGGAGUAUUGCACAAUGGGCGGAAGCCUGAUGCAGCAACGCCGCGUGCGGGAUGACGGCCUUCGGGUUGUAAACCGCUUUCGCCUGUGACGAAGCGUGAGUGACGGUAAUGGGUAAAGAAGCACCGGCUAACUACGUG
rnacentral:rRNA from 1 species